rnacentral:misc_RNA from 1 species
GAUGAAGAACGUAGCGAAAUGCGAUAAGUAGUGUGAAUUGCAGAAUUCAGUGAUUCAUCGAAUCUUUGAACGCACAUUGCGCCCCUUGGUAUUCCAUGGGGCAUGCCUGUUCGAGCGUCAUUUGUACCUUCAAGCUUUGCUUGGUGUUGGGUGUUUGUCUCGCCUUUGCGUGUAGACUCGCCUUAAAAUAAUUGGCAGCCGGCGUAUUGAUUUCGGAGCGCAGUACAUCUCGCGCUUUGCACUCAUAACGACAGCGUCCAAAAGUACAUUUUACACUCUUGACCUCGGAUCAGGUAGGGAUACCCGCUGAACUUAAGCAUAUCAAUAAGCGGAGGA